GCCGAAGUGGCGGAAUUGGUAGACGCGCUAGGUUCAGGGUCUAGUGGGGGCUACCCCGUGCGAGUUCGAGUCUCGCCUUCGGCACCA
rnacentral:tRNA from 1 species